rnacentral:rRNA from 1 species
UACGGAGGGUGCAAACGUUGCUCGGAAUCAUUGGGCGUAAAGCGCACGUAGGUGGCCUGUUAAGUCGGGUGUGAAAUCCCUAGGCUCAACCCAGGAAGUGCACUCGAAACUGGCAGGCUUGAGUACUGAAGAGGGUCGCGGAAUUCCCGGUGUAGAGGUGAAAUUCGUAGAUAUCGGGAGGAACACCAGUGGCGAAGGCGGCGACCUGGGCAGAUACUGACACUGAGGUGCGAAAGCGUGGGGAGCAAACAGG